CGUAGCUCAGCUGGAUAGAGUACUCGGCUACGAACCGAGCGGUCGGAGGUUCGAAUCCUCGCGCUUAC
rnacentral:tRNA from 1 species